GCGGUUGUAGCUCAGUAGGUAGAGCGCGACGUUGCCAACGUCGAGGUCGCCGGUUCGAACCCGGCCUGCCGCUCCA
rnacentral:tRNA from 1 species